rfam:Danio rerio chromosome 4, GRCz11 reference primary assembly.
GUCUCUGUAGCGCAAUUGGUUAGCGUGUUCGGCUGUUAACUGAACGGUUGUUGUUCAAGCCUACGCAGGGACG